CUCAUGACAUACAAGUAUUGUUCUAUGGCCAUGUCACCCAAAAUGCACCUUACAUGAAAACUAAGUACUAAGAAGAACUUGGGAGUAAUGAAAGUGUUGAAUAGUCUAUGCACUAGUCUAAUUAGGAUUCUUUAGGUAUUAACAUAACAUACUAGAGACAACUAUGAAAACGUUAUAACGUGGGUGCUAAUGGCUUACACUGUAAUUCUACUCAGGAAUCUGAAAUCUGAAGAUCACAUUUUAGAACCAACCCAGACAAGGCAGGUCCAUGAGACUAUUAUAUCUAGUUAACCAGAAAAGCCAUUCUUUUUGGUUUUUGGCAUUGUUUUCUUUUGUUUUUUUGAAACAUGGUCUCACUUUAUAGACCAGGCUAGUCCUGACCUCUUGCUUCCAUCACUCCCAAGCUUAAGAUCUUAAUAUAACAGUAUCUGGUUACUUUCCAGAAAGCAUGCCAGCUGAUUUUCCCUCAGCAGUUUAUAAAAUUUAAUAUCUCAUUAAACACUUACUCCCAGCAUUAAUUAUUAUUGAGCUUUUAAAUACUGCCUAAUUUGGUAAAAA